rnacentral:rRNA from 1 species
CCCUUAGAUGUCCUGGGCCGCACGCGCGCUACACUGAGUGUCUGAGAUACGAGUCUGCCUGGUCCGGCAAGGUCUAGGUAAUCGCUAAAAGACACAUCAUGCUUGGGAUAGAUUAUUGCAAAUAUUAAUCUUGAACGAGGAAUUCCUAGUAAGCGCAAGUCAACAGCUUGCGUUGAUUACGUCCCUGCCCUUUGUACACACCGCCCGUCGCUACUACUGAUUGGAUGUUUAAGCGAGGUUCUCGAACUGCUAGCGACUUAGCUUCGGUGAGGUCGCAGUGUGGGAUGUGAACCUAGCUUUGGUGUCUAGAGGAAGUAAAAGUCGUAACA